AGCUUCUAUUCUCUUGGAUUUCUUCUGAUGAUAAUUGAUCAGUGACAUCAUCACUCUGGGCUCAUUAAAGGCGCCAUGUUUCGAUUCUCUACUCCUACGGGCUUCCGCCGUCAGACGUUCUGCUGCGGCUCCGCGACCCGCUAAUGGAGCCAACAUGGCGGAACAUCGCCGCAGCUUCUCUGCUCAACGGCUCAUCAGCUGAUGAGCGCGGCGGCAGGGGUCAAAGGUCAGCGCUAAGGCAUCUGGGGCGCUGUGACGGGGCGUGGCCAGGUGUCAUCUGGAUUUGAUGUGUGAUGUGAAGCCGCACACGUCAAGGUCAGAGGUCAAGGUGGAUGAAGAGGCAGAAUCAUCCUCAUCAGAAUCUCCCAGCUUCCAGCCUGAUGCUCAGCGAUUUCCCGGCUGAAAGCAGCGGAGCGUGUUUUCACCACAACGAGCCUUCAGGCGGCGGCGGCGGAACACAGACGCCGCCAGAGUCUGAACCAAUUACAGGACAAUUAGCCAGCUGGCUGUUAUGAAACACAGCAAUUAAUGUUUCGUUAAUAAGUCAGAUUCACAGCGAUUCCACAUCGUCGGCUAAUCGCCGGGUAAUUACUGCCGCCGCUGCGUCUCGGCGCCGGCGACGGAUUGAUCCGACAAAUCUGGGCCUCAAACUGCUGGGCAUCAACAUCUGGAGCUGACGGCGCCACCAUCAGGCCGGAUGACUGAACGCUGCUG